rnacentral:rRNA from 1 species
AACGCGAAGAACCUUACCUGGUCUUGACAUCCACAGAACUUUCCAGAGAUGGAUUGGUGCCUUCGGGAACUGUGAGACAGGUGCUGCAUGGCUGUCGUCAGCUCGUGUUGUGAAAUGUUGGGUUAAGUCCCGCAACGAGCGCAACCCUUAUCUUUUGUUGCCAGCGGUCCGCCCGGGAACUCAAAGGAGACUGCCAGUGAUAAACUGGAGGAAGGUGGGGAUGACGUCAAGUCAUCAUGGCCCUUACGACCAGGGCUACACACGUGCUACAAUGGCGCAUACAAAGAGAAGCGACCUCGCGAGAGCAAGCGGACCUCAUAAAGUGCGUCGUAGUCCGGAUUGGAGUCUGCAACUCGACUCCAUGAAGUCGGAAUCGCUAGUAAUCGUGGAUCAGAAUGCCACGGUGAAUACGUUCCCGGGCCUUGUACACACCG